UACGUAGGGACCAAGCGUUGUUCGGAUUUACUGGGCGUAAAGGGCGCGUAGGCGGCGUGUUAAGUCAGCUGUGAAAUCUCCAAGCUUAACUUGGAACGGUCAGCUGAUACUGAUGUGCUAGAGUGCAGAAGGGGCAAUCGGAAUUCUUGGUGUAGCGGUGAAAUGCGUAGAUAUCAAGAGGAACACCUGCGGCGAAGGCGGGGUUGCUGGGCUGAUACUGACGCUGAGGCGCGAAAGCCAGGGGAGCGAACGGG
rnacentral:rRNA from 1 species